UGGCUAGAUAAUCCGGUCUUUCACAUUAUCAUAAACAAUGUCUAAGGGAGGUAACUCCUCUUAAAACAAGAUGUUUACGCCCAUGAAAUUAAUUUAAGAAUGUCAUUUCAAAAAAUCCAUUUGAUUGCAUGCGAGUUCAAUAUCUAACACUCUUAAUUUUUUAUUGUAAAAUUUCUCUCUUCAUGGGCCAUAUCUAUGCUUUUAAAAUUAAUCCUAAUUCGUCGUCUCGAUUCAUGUUUGUUUAUAUUAAUGCAAGAAUUAUGGGAUUUAUUGUGGGAAGGGGCGCAACUCUUACUUGACUUGGCUAAAGAGACUGGAUAAUCAACCACAUUAAAAACCAAACUCCCGGUUACGCAUGGGAAAUGGACUUUACAUCAAAUAUUGACAACCUUCCCAGACCCUCCCUAUUCGUUUUCUGAAUGCCCCGAACAAAACUUUAUAUGUUGAUAAUGGUACUUUAUAUCUAGAAUGGGUGUUCGAAAUAUAUCUUGCCCUUAAUCUGAGUGAAAUAAGUGUUUAUCUGACAUACCCUGAUGGAAAGCGAAGAGGUCUUUAUUCAUACAGUGAGGAAAAUGUAAUGAAAUCUAAUACAGACUGUGAAAUAAAAAAACAUUUUAGUGAAGACAACAAAACAAAAGUAAUAACAUUAUCCUGUACCUUGAAUAAUUCUACCAUAGAAAAGUUACAGAGAUGCCCUUUCAUUACCUUAGAGAUAGACUUUGGUCGUAACUAUUUUACGUCACAUCAGAUCACAGAUUUAACAGAUCAAUGUUCAGAAGAUAAUAUCACUAUGGUAACAGAUUAUAAUAACACGGUGACAACAGCUGAUAAUGUAUCUACAGCAACCAACAAUGAUAAUAAAACCAUUGUAAAUAAUGUAUCAAAUAAUAAAGAUACUGCAGCCAUAGUAGGCUCUAUUGUUGGUGUUCUUCUCAUUGCGAUUGCAGUUGCCUGUUUUGUACUCUUAAAGAAAAAAGGGACAAGUAAUGGUGGUGUGCAGAAUAAUGAGGAUUCAGAAUCACCUUUUCUUUCAUGAUUAACAGUGUAUUUAGAAUAUAUGUUUUUAUUUUAUGAUCAGUAGUGGAAUACCGCGUUUUAUCAGUGAAAUAAAAGUGUUAUUUCA